AUUCAGCAUAUUGAGACUUGGAAUGCCUCCGAUACUAAGUCUCAGUUUAGUACCAAUAUACUAUGGUACGCCUGAUAUGGGAUGCAUUGACACAACAAACCUUGAUUUGGUCUAUUUGGUGUCUGAAUAAAAAUAGUCAUGUAGCAACCUAGCUAGGCUCACAUCUAAUCCGAGUGGAAUAUUAUUAUGAAUCAACUGACCUGUUGCAGCAAUUACCUAAAU
rnacentral:lncRNA from 1 species